rnacentral:rRNA from 1 species
UGGGGAAUAUUGCACAAUGGGGGAAACCCUGAUGCAGCGACGCCGCGUGAGCGAAGAAGGUUUUCGAAUCGUAAAGCUCUGUCCUAUGAGAAGAUAAUGACGGUAUCAUAGGAGGAAGCCCCGGCUAAAUACGUGCCAGCAGCCGCGGUAAUACGUAUGGGGCGAGCGUUGUUCGGAAUUAUUGGGCGUAAAGGGUACGUAGGCGGUCUAUUAAGUCAGGUGUGAAAGCGUGAGGCUAAACCUCAUUAAGCACUUGAAACUGAUAGACUUGAGUGAAGGAGAGGAAAGUGGAAUUCCUAGUGUAGCGGUGAAAUGCGUAGAUAUUAGGAGGAAUACCGGUGGCGAAGGCGACUUUCUGGACUUUUACUGACGCUCAGGUACGAAAGCGUGGGGAGCAAACAGG